UACGUAGGGUGCGAGCGUUGUCCGGAAUUAUUGGGCGUAAAGAGCUUGUAGGCGGUUUGUCGCGUCUGCUGUGAAAAUCCGGGGCUCAACCCCGGACUUGCAGUGGGUACGGGCAGACUAGAGUGUGGUAGGGGAGACUGGAAUUCCUGGUGUAGCGGUGAAAUGCGCAGAUAUCAGGAGGAACACCGAUGGCGAAGGCAGGUCUCUGGGCCACUACUGACGCUGAGGAGCGAAAGCAUGGGUAGCGAACAGGAUUAGAUA
rnacentral:rRNA from 1 species